rnacentral:rRNA from 1 species
UGGGGAAUAUUGCACAAUGGGCGAAAGCCUGAUGCAGCGACGCCGCGUGAGGGAUGACGGCCUUCGGGUUGUAAACCUCUUUCAGGAGGGAAGAAGCGAAAGUGACGGUACCUGCAGAAGAAGCGCCGGCUAACUACGUGCCAGCAGCCGCGGUAAUACGUAGGGCGCAAGCGUUAUCCGGAUUUAUUGGGCGUAAAGAGCUCGUAGGCGGUUUGUCGCGUCUGCCGUGAAAGUCCGAGGCUCAACCUCGGAUCUGCGGUGGGUACGGGCAGACUAGAGUGAUGUAGGGGAGACUGGAAUUCCUGGUGUAGCGGUGAAAUGCGCAGAUAUCAGGAGGAACACCGAUGGCGAAGGCAGGUCUCUGGGCAUUUACUGACGCUGAGGAGCGAAAGCAUGGGGAGCGAACA